UACGUAGGGUCCGAGCGUUGUUCGGAAUUACUGGGCGUAAAGGGCGCGUAGGCGGUGUGUCAAGUCAGGCGUGAAAGCCCCGGGCUCAACCUGGGAACCGCGCUUGAGACUGGCACGCUCGAGUUCGGGAGAGGAUGGUGGAAUUCCCAGUGUAGAGGUGAAAUUCGUAGAUAUUGGGAAGAACACCGAUGGCGAAGGCAGCCAUCUGGACCGACACUGACGCUGAGGCGCGAAAGCGUGGGGAGCAAACAGG
rnacentral:rRNA from 1 species